rnacentral:rRNA from 1 species
CAGCAGCCGCGGGAAUACAGAGGGUGCGAGCGUUAAUCGGAUUUACUGGGCGUAAAGCGUGCGUAGGCGGCUUCUUAAGUCGGAUGUGAAAUCCCUGAGCUUAACUUAGGAAUUGCAUUCGAUACUGGGAAGCUAGAGUAUGGGAGAGGAUGGUAGAAUUCCAGGUGUAGCGGUGAAAUGCGUAGAGAUCUGGAGGAAUACCGAUGGCGAAGGCAGCCAUCUGGCCUAAUACUGACGCUGAGGUACGAAAGCAUGGGGAGCAAACAGGAUUAGAGACCCGAGUAGUCCCUGUCUCUUAUAA